UAGGGAAUCUUCCACAAUGGACGCAAGUCUGAUGGAGCAACGCCGCGUGAGUGAAGAAGGUUUUCGGAUCGUAAAGCUCUGUUGUUGGUGAAGAAGGAUAGAGGCAGUAACUGGUCUUUAUUUGACGGUAAUCAACCAGAAAGUCACGGCUAACUACGUGCCAGCAGCCGCGGUAAUACGUAGGUGGCAAGCGUUGUCCGGAUUUAUUGGGCGUAAAGCGAGCGCAGGCGGAAUGAUAAGUCUGAUGUGAAAGCCCACGGCUCAACGUGGAACUGCAUCGGAAACUGUCAUUCUUGAGUGCAGAAGAGGAGAGUGGAACUCCAUGUGUAGCGGUGGAAUGCGUAGAUAUAUGGAAGAACACCAGUGGCGAAGGCGGCUCUCUGGUCUGCAACUGACGCUGAGGCUCGAAAGCAUGGGUAGCGAACAGGAUUAGAUACCCUGGUAGUCCAUGCCGUAAACGAUGAGCGCUAGGUGUUGGGGACUUUCCGGUCCUCAGUGCCGCAGCAAAUCGCAUUAAGCGCUCCGCCUGGGGAGUACGACCGCAAGGUUGAAAC
rnacentral:rRNA from 1 species